UUCAUCUCCAUUUAUCAGUCCCUCCCCUGAGCCUAGCUCCAGGCUGGGGCCGGAGAUUGGGCAGUGAUAACUGUCUCUCCCUGCAGCAAUGCUGUGACUGCUGUGGCCUGGGCCUCCGCGUACGGGCCGAGGGCCAGUCGUGUGAGUCCAAUCCCAACCUGGGCUAUCCCUGCGAUCAUGUCAUGCUCUCCUGCUGUGAGGGUGAAGAGCCUCUUAUAGUACCUGAAGUUCGCCGACCUCCAGAGCCCGCAGCUGCACCACGGAGAGUUUCAGAGGCAGAGAUGGCGGGCCGAGAGGCCCUGUCACUGGGCACGGAGGCCGAGCUGCCCAACAGCCUGCCGGGCGAUGACCAGGAUGAGUGCCUUCUCCUCCCGGGAGAGCUGUGCCAGCACCUUUGCAUCAAUACUGUGGGCUCUUACCACUGUGCCUGCUUUCCUGGCUUCUCACUGCAGGACGAUGGCCGCACUUGCCGCCCAGAGGGUCACCCUCCAGAGCCGGAAGCCCCACAGGAGCCUGCACUGAAGUCAGAAUUUUCCCAGGUGGCCUCUAACACCAUCCCGCUGCCAC
rnacentral:sRNA from 1 species